rnacentral:rRNA from 1 species
UACGUAGGUGGCAAGCGUUGUCCGGAUUUAUUGGGCGUAAAGAGCGUGUAGGCGGCUUGGUAGGUCCGCUGUGAAAACUCGAGGCUCAACCUCGAGAUGUCGGCGGAAACCACUUGGCUAGAGUCCGGAAGAGGAGAGUGGAAUUCCUGGUGUAGCGGUGAAAUGCGCAGAUAUCAGGAAGAACACCUAUGGCGAAGGCAGCUCUCUGGGACGGUACUGACGCUGAGACGCGAAAAGCGUGGGGAGCGAACAGG